rnacentral:rRNA from 1 species
UACGAAGGGGGCUAGCGUUGCUCGGAAUCACUGGGCGUAAAGCGCACGUAGGCGGAUCGUUAAGUCGGGGGUGAAAUCCUGGAGCUCAACUCCAGAACUGCCUUCGAUACUGGCGAUCUCGAGUUCGGGAGAGGUGAGUGGAACUGCGAGUGUAGAGGUGAAAUUCGUAGAUAUUCGCAAGAACACCAGUGGCGAAGGCGGCUCACUGGCCCGAUACUGACGCUGAGGUGCGAAAGCGUGGGGAGCAAACAGG